GUGAAAACUGCCCUCCCCAGACCCGUCACGUGCGCCUGAGGCGCGCGCUUCCGCGUCGGGGCCGCGCCGGCCUUGGCGGGUGCGUGGGAGUGGGAAAGGAGAGCCUAUGACUCCUGUGGAACAGGCCGGUUGCUGAAGGGAAGGCCUGAAUCCAAGCACUUGGGAGACUGAAGAGACUGAGGCCGUGGCUAUGGUGAGAGUUCAGGGCAUAAAGGAACUUGCUUUCACAACCCAGGACCACAUGGCAGGAGAAAACUGAUUCCAUCCAGCGAGUCAUCCUGUGGCUUUUGUCAUCAUACACACACAUGAAAUAAAUGUAAGGAAAGAGAGAAA